GUUUGAUGUAAGAGUCGAAAACGCUAGGCACAUUAACUUUCAUUUGAAAUGGCGAACGAUCUAAGCUUCAGCGCGGAUGUCUGCGCAAAUGUUCUCUGGUUAGGUUACUCAACAGAUGCCUGGCCAGCUUUAUGGUGUACGGAAAUCUGGCUGAGCCAAAGAGAGAGAGAGAGGGGUAGAGAAUGUUUUGGACACAGCUGAGUGAAGGAUUCUUUACUCUGGGUGGCUUGGAAAGACGCAUGAGGGACUAUCAGCUACCCAGCAUAUAUUCUCAGCCUAGAGAGAGGCAGUACAAGAGUGUAAUUGUCUUGCUGAUGUGAGCACGCUCAUGUUUUAGGCUUGUGUUAUUGUACAGUUUAUCAGCUGAUCACCAGUUUUGCUGUGCAAAAUUAAAGCAUGAAUUUGUUGAA